AAGAACAAAGAGAGGAAAAGAAAAACAAGAAACGUAGGUGGGAAAAUUAAAGAAAAAGUGUGGGAUUUCAAGGAAUCAAGCAAUCAAAGGAAAAAUUUCUUGAUUUUGACUUGUGAUCUACCUUUCCCAUGCUUUUCUCCUUAUUUUCCAUGGUUAGAUUUCAUGUUUUCAUAGUGAAUUCAUGGCUGCCCAAAUGGGUAUGGAGAGAGAAUGAAGUUAGAUUGAUUUGAUUUUAAG
rnacentral:lncRNA from 1 species